rnacentral:rRNA from 1 species
AACGAACGCUGGCGGCAUGCCUAACACAUGCAAGUCGAACGAAGCCUUCGGGCUUAGUGGCGCACGGGUGCGUAACGCGUGGGAAUCUGCCCUUUGGUUCGGAAUAACAGUUGGAAACGACUGCUAAUACCGGAUGAUGACGAAAGUCCAAAGAUUUAUCGCCAGAGGAUGAGCCCGCGUAGGAUUAGCUAGUUGGUGUGGUAAAGGCGCACCAAGGCGACGAUCCUUAGCUGGUCUGAGAGGAUGAUCAGCCACACUGGGACUGAGACACGGCCCAGACUCCUACGGGAGGCAGCAGUGGGGAAUAUUGGACAAUGGGCGAAAGCCUGAUCCAGCAAUGCCGCGUGAGUGAUGAAGGCCCUAGGGUUGUAAAGCUCUUUUACCCGGGAUGAUAAUGACAGUACCGGGAGAAUAGGCCCCGGCUAACUCCGUGCCAGCAGCCGCAGUAA